CUUGGAUCCAAUAUUGUCAGUUUUAGCCAUUAUGAGGAGGAAAACCUCUUGAAUGGAAUUAUGCAGAACAUGUUUGAUAGGUAACCAGAUCAUUUUAACAAAUUGAAGUUCAACUGAGUUAAAUUGCUUGUUUUUUAUAAUGUAGCAGUGAGGAGCGUUUGUUCUGGGCUGGGUUUAACAAAAGAAACCAAAAUACCCGUGUGGGGCUGCAUGGGAGUGGUCUGAUGGCACUGCUGUUGUAUCUUCAUUUAUAGAGGACAGACAUAAUGAAGAUGAUCAAAGAAACGGUGCAGCUUAUAAAGCUGAUAAUAUGAUAAUACUGCUACGAUGUGAUGCAAAACUUGAGUGGAUCUGUAAAACACCUAAAGGUGCAGAGCUGAAGAGACUAUGGUAUACCGAAUCUGGAUGGAUGGAUCAGCCAUUGAUUACGAGAACUGGGAAGGAACAAAUUCAAGACACUCGGAAGUGAAGAAUGAAAGAUGUGUAUAUGUCAUCACAGACAGGCAGAUGGUCUGAGGGCAUAUCCAAUGGUAAUCAUCCUUAUAGUUUCUGUUGAAAUUCCAAGAGAACUUCACCUCAUAGGAGGCUGUCCAGAACGAUGGCUCUAUUUUGGACACAAGUGUUUUCUGAUGCAUGUACCAAACAAUCCCAAAAAACCUGGACUGAUGCCUAGACUUUCUGCAAAUCUCAUGAAGGAGCACUUGUUUCAGAUGAAAAUAAAAUAGAGCAAGCCUAUUAAACAAUGCUGCUAUUGGGAGGUCAAACAAGUGUCUGGAUUGGUCUGCAAAAUGACAACCGGCAAAAAUGGGUGAAUGGGGAACCUGUUACUUAUGCAAAGUGGUCACCCAUCGAACCAGAGAACUCGUUUUCUGGAUAAACCAGUACGACUAAUUUCACAAAUGGACCAAGAUGACCUGAAUAAAUUAACAAGAAACAUAUAUCAUAUAUCCAGAAAAUCAACAGAAGCCCUCUUUCUUAAACAAUAGGAUGGAGAUGAUUUGAAUGCCAGUAAUGCUUAACAAGAUGACCCACUCUGUACUUUGCUGUCAAACAAUCAUAACUAUCAUUUAACUGGGAAAUGGUACAAUGAGAAGUGUCUGGACAAUGGGUAUGGAUUUAUAUGUCAAAAACAACAGGACCCAUCUAAGCCUCCGUCUCAUCAAUCAUUUUUUCAUCCUCUUCCUAAUACCGUUGAAUACAGGAACCGCAGUUACAGAAUUAUUCAUGGGAACAUGACCUGGUAUGAAGCCCUGAAUAAAUGCUCAGAAAAUGAAACUGAACUAGUGAGCAUAACUGAUGAGUUCCACCAGGCUUUCCUUAAAGUCGUUGUGAAUAGAUUGGCCCACGCACACUGGAUUGGACUUAAUAGCCAAGAUAAAGUAAACCAAUUUCCUACAAAGGGGAAUGUCCAAAAACAUGGUUAAAGUUCCAAAGCAGUUGCUACAGUUUUGAGCCUGUUAUAAGGAGGCUGGAUUUGGAAGAAUCGCGUGAAUAUUGCAUACUGAAAGCAAACACGUCAGAUCUAUUGACAAUUAAAGAGGAAGAAGAGCACAGAUUUGUUUUAGAGGAACUACAAUUCUUUGGAUCUUCUCAUCAGACUCUUUGGCUUGGCAUCAUAUUUGGCACUGACAUUUUCUUCUAUCCUAGAUGACACAUUGGAGUGGUUUGACUGUUCACCUGUUAAGUAUUCUAACUGGUUCUUCUAAGCACCACAUAUGGAUCCUCUUACUAUUGAUAGCUGUGUUUCAAUGAGGCCUUCAAAUGGCAGCUGGCAUGUGUCUCACCUUGAGGAAACGCUUGGAUUCAUUCAUAUGGAGCAUCUCAUACCUGUUUCUUCUGGAAAUGUGUACUACAGACAAGCAAGUUCAGAGGCUGCGGAUUCAGAAGGAAAUAUUCUUAUUACAGAUCUUGAUAUGAAUACUGUAAAUUAAAAUCUCCUUGAGCAGUAAUGGAAUUGCGAUCUGUAAAGCGAACUGUGUCACAGCAGGGCAGUGUGGUUGCAUGUUACAUUUGAGCAGCCAGUCACCAAAAAGCAUAGAUCCUGAUCUGCACAAUCCUGGAAGAACAGCUGAAAACCAAAGAAACAAGUAUUAAUAAUGGGAAGAUAUUCAUUUACACUGCAUAAGCACAGAAAGGCUAAAAGCUGAUAACAUCUGAAAUUAAAUUUUCUAUUGAAAAAAGGGUCCAAUUUUAUUCUUAUUGUCUUCAAACACGGAAUACAACAUUUCAGUUUUUUUGAAACCUCAGAAGUAUUCAUCACAAUUAAUGUCUAUAAAACACGGUACUAAACUUAAAUUGAUAGAACGUAAUUUUAUAAAUGUAUAUUAUUAUAAGAUAUUCAGAUGGCUAAAUUACUUGGAGUAAUAGCUUUUUGUCAUGAACUCAAAAAACUCAGAGACCUCAUUGUAAUAAACAAGUAAAUGUACAUGUCUUGCACUGUACUGUCAACAGAAUUGCUGGACUAGGCUGCCACAGCAGCCAUUCUCAAUUUGAGGGCAGCACAAGCAGAAGUACAGAAUUGUUAUACAAUUGUAAGCAAGAUGUUUGUUUGAUUUUUUUAAUCUAAAGCAGUGCAGCAUCAAUGAAGUAUUGUCAGUAUCGUAACUUUAGCAAGCUUCUGAGGAUAUAGUUUAUGUUCCCCAUGGUUUAACACUUCAGAAUGGACACAAUAUACACCAAACCCCUGCUACUGUUGACUCCUUAAAUUAACAGUCUGGGGUCUGACAGGUAACCUUUUUAUUUGCUGCCGCUUAACAUAAUGACUGAAAUCCUGAAGAAACAGUACUCAGUCAGGCUGAGGUAUCGAGUCCAGCUACCCCCAGUCGCUCUCCAGAUGACAGACGAGCAGGUGUUUUUGAAUAAGACUGUUUACUAGUUUUUUCAUAGCCUAUAUUUUCCCUAGUACUGCUUAGGGAUUUACACACUUUUAUUUAUAUAUUAUUUUUCUUAUGAUAUAUGGAAAUACUAGCCAUUUUACCAGUUUUG